UUAUGCACAUUUAAAAAAAGUCCUUCAUGUACCUACCUAUAACCACGGAUUUAAAUGUCAAUUAAAGUCCGUGCUAUAACCUACCUACCUACCCAACCUUAUUUUUAUGGGUCGGGAAGUGGAAACAAACAAAUUUUUAUUUUUUGCCUAAGAGUUAUCAAAUUGAAACAUCAUAUGUAUCAUGGAGGGUAUUGUAGUUCACAAUAACAGUUAAAAAAUUAUAAGGUAGAAGACCCAUAAUGAAAUCGGCAAUCUUCGACAAUUACCGCCAUAUCUCGCCAUUUAUCGUAACGAACUUCGUUUGUUUACGUAUAAAGUCGGAAUUCUAAUAAUAGCGAAUAUCCCCGGUCACGUGGUAGUAUUCCCCAAGAAAAUGACGUAAUUUCCGCAGAUAUCUAACAUGGCGUCUUACAGCGUGAUACGCUCGGUCGAUUAAAAAAAAGUGUAAAAAGAUGCAGAAAACUCAAGUAUUCCGACUUUAUUAUAGAACAUAACUAUAGUGCAGGUAACCAGUAUUACGUGUCAACCAAACCAGCUCUACAAGACAUCAACUCUUCCUAAAUCGGUUGAUAAUGAGGGUUGGAAAGAGGGAAGAAGAAUCGUUGAGUUUGGCGUGUUACGGUCAAACCUAAGAUUUUGUAAAAAAUGUAGACUUGGACCAGUUGGCUACCAUUAACAGCACUGAUUAACUUUUGACAACAUGUUAGGUGAAUUUAAACAGGGAGUGUCUGGUUAUUUGUAUGUGAAAUGUCGAAACACAGAAUGCGGUCAUGUGAAUUGUGUUCCCUAUGGAAAAACACACAGACUCUAGUAGAUUGAAGACCUGUGAAAGUUGGAAUGCCAUGGUUCGUUGUCAACACAAAAUUAGGAACAGCAAUGAUUGAUAGUGUAGGUGGGCCGGUGAGGGUCAACAAUUUGUUGUCAACACUAAAUAUACCAACAAUUGGAAAUAAAAACAUGAAAAGAAAUGGAGAGACGUGUUGGAAAUAUCAUUGAAACAGCACUGGCUUCUAUGCCGACAGAAUCUGCUGCAUAAGAUCAAGGAAAUGGAGGAUGUGCAUCAUGAAGAAUCAAUGGUAUCAGAACACAACAUCAUGGAAGAUCUUAUUGACAAGAUCUCGGAGGAUGUCCUUUGCCAGAUGUUUGCCAGCACUAAAGUCUAUUCAUCAGUCAUAUGCUACAGUUACAAAUGACAGUGAAUGGUCAGAUUUAUACAAUUGUGAUUAACAAUCCUCAACAAUACAUCAAACAAAAAUGCCUAUUAAACUUUCUCACAGACAGUCAAAGGUUGAAAACAAAUCAGAAGUGGUCCACAUCUUAAAAAACCUCACAGCAGAUUAAGACUUUCCCCGAAAUUUCCCUGUAAAACCCGCAGUGGUAUGUCUUGUGCAGUAGAUACUGCCUGGCACAAAAGAGGAUUUGACAGUUUAACAUUGUACUGCACCAAUAAACUAAAUAUGGAGAGAAGCUUAGUCACCAAAGCAGUCAACACCAAAAUACACACAAUGGGCCAGGGCACUGAAACUUGGAAGAGUGAAAGAGUAAAGUAGUGCGUUUUUAGCUAACAAAGUGACAUUGCGAGCUUUUGUCUAUCUUUCGUCCGUAAACUUGAUCUUUAAACAACAUCUCAUAAAUUGCCAAGCCAAUUUCAUGCAAACUUACGAUAUUGUCUAGUCAGUUUUUGUUUUGCUUGCAAUCGCUAUAUGACAUGACUAAAGACAUUUAGUUUUAUUCUUAAGUUAUUAUGUUUAUGUUUGUAUAAGACCCAAAUAUAUUGUUAAGAUUCAUUUUUACAAAUUUGAAAGCCAUUUAUGAUUAUUGUUCUAGUCAGUUUUUGUUUUGCUUUCAAUCAUUAUAUUACAUGGCUAAAGACAAUUAGUUUUAAUCUUUAAUAGUUAUGUCUAUAUUUGUAUAAGACCCAAAAAUAUUGUUAAGAUUCAUUUUUACAAUUUUGAAAGCCAUUAUUGCUCUAGUUUGUUUUUGUUUUGCUUGCAAUUGUUAUAUGACAUGACUAAAGACAUUUAGUUUAAAUCUUUAGUUAUUAUGUCCAUGAGGGGCAUCCGUGGCCGAGUGGUUAAGGUCAUUGACUUCAAACCACUUGCCCCUCACCGCUGUGGGUUGGAAUCCCGACAGGGACUUUGGAAUCUGUCUUGUGAGGAAGCUAUCCAGCUAGCUUAACUGAACGUCAGUGGUUCUACUCAGAUACCCGUUCGUGCCUGAAAUAAUGCAAGGAAGGGCACCUGAACGUCACGAUAUGACCUUUACUGUGUUGAUGUGACGUAAAAACCCAAAACAAGCAAACAAAAAAUUAUGUCUAUGAAAUUCGUUGUUUGUAUAAGACCCAAAUAUAUUGUUGUGAUUAAUUUUAACAAUUUUGAAAGCCAUAAUUGUUCGUGUCAGAUAUUGUUUUGCUCACAAUCAUAAUGUUAUAUGACAUAUGAGUUUAAAUCUGAAGGUAUUAUGUCCAUGAAAUAUGUUGUUUGUUUAAGACCAAAAUAUAUUUUUGAGAUUCAUUUUUACAAUUUUGAAAGCCAUUAUUGGUCUAGUCUAUUUUUGCAUAACACAUAACGCUAUUGUUAGUAUUUAUUGUUAUUAAUAGUGAUUUGUCUAAGUGGAUGUCGAAGUAUGUAUGUUAAUCCAUGCCAGUUCAUGUUUGAAUGAAACUUUUUGUCCAGAUAGAAGAUUUCAAACUGUAACUUUUCUGAUUUUUAGCUUUUACAACAAUAUUAUAUUUCCCAUUUAUGGUGCUAAGAAAUACUGCAACAUGUGCUGAAAAAUAGCUAUUGUCAAACAUUGUUUAUAUGCUCCCCGAAAAAUUUCGGCGGACCAUAUAGUCAUUGGGUUGUCUGUCUGUACGUACAUACGAAUCUGAAGUCGUGUCCAGCCCAUAACUUUGUUAUUUCAAGUUGGAUUUUAAAACUAUUUCACAGAAAUGAUCACCAUAUUGAGACGACCUGUCGCCCGCAACAUUUGGGUCGCUACCUUGAAGGUCAAGGUCACACCAUGACCUUGAACAAAAUCAUGUCCGGCCCAUCACUUCGUUAUUUGAAGUCGGAUUUUAAAGCUAUUUAAAAGUAAUGAUCACCAUAUUGAGACGAUGUGUCGUGCGCAGCAUUUGGGUCGUUACCUUGAAGGUCAAUGUCACAGCAUGACCUUAAACAAAAAUUUUGCCGGCCCAUAACUUGGUUAUUUGAUGUCGGAUUUUACAACUAUUUCACAGAAAUGAUCACCAUAUUGAGACGAUGUGUCGCACACACCAUUUUGGUCAAUACCUUGAAGGUCAAGGUCGCAACAUGACAUUGAAGCAAAAUCGUGUCAGGCCCAUAAAUUCGUUAUUUGAAGUCGGAUUUUACAACUAUUUCACCGAAAUGAUCACCAUAUUGAGACAAUAUGUCACAUGCAACAUUUGGGUCAUUACCUUGAAGGUCUAGGUCACAGCAUGACCUUGAAGCAAAAAUGUGUACGGCCCAUAACGUUGUUAUUUAAAGUGGGAUUUUACAACUAUUUUGGAAUUAUCACACUUUGAACUUUGUCUGGGACAUAACCCUGAAACUUCAAAAGAUAUACUUUUCUGUAUCUAGGAUCACCCCGGUUCAACCGGCUCUUGUUUUAAUUGAUUAUUAAGUAAUAUGAACAAUUCAUGAUAGCAUCAUAACUAAAGAGUGGAAAUUUAUGAAAGUCAAAUAUGUAUAGAAUCAGUUGCUAAUAAAAUGUGUGUAAAAUUUAUCUCUUUUGGGGAAUUAAUUUCUUUAUUUUAUAAAUUUAUCAAAUUUCAUUUUAUUCUACUGAUAUGUUUGUAAUAUUUCUUUUAUUUUCUAUUGAAAAAAUGUGUUAAACCAAUAUGUAUUUGUUUUCUUAUAAUUCAGCUAGUUUUUAUUAUUCCAAUGUUUGAAAAAAUUGUUCGCCAGAACUUUACCAAAAUGUUUGCCAAAAUAUCGCCAUAACAUAUUUGCUGAAACUGGCAAAUAUGCAAAUGAAGUUUGCCGCAGUGUUACCAAAAGCUUCUGGCGAACAUCCGCAAACUUACUAUGCAAAUGAAGUUUGCUGCAAAUUUGCCGCAAACUUUUGGCGAACAUCUGCAAACUUUUACCAUGCAAAUGAGGUUUGCGGUAAAUUUGCCGCAAACAGAAGCUACCUCCCCCUAUAGUUUGCGGCAAGUUUGCCGCUAACCUCAUGAGUUGCGGCAAAUUUGCCGCAAACCUCAUUUGCAUGGUAAAUAAUUGCUGAAAGCAGUUUGCCGCAAACUCACCGCAAUGUUUGCGGCAAACUUGCCGCAAUGUUCACCAGAGAGCCCUUUUUUUGGUAAGGGUUA